GUGCCAGCCGCCGCGGUAAUACGGAGGGUGCAAGCGUUGUUCGGAAUCAUUGGGCGUAAAGCGCGCGCAGGUGGCUUGCCAAGUCUGGUGUGAAAGCCCAGGGCUCAACCCUGGAACUGCAUUGGAAACUGGUGAGCUUGAGUCCAAGAGAGGUUAGUGGAAUUCCUGGUGUAGGGGUGAAAUCCGUAGAGAUCAGGAGGAACACCGGUGGCGAAGGCGACUAACUGGAUUGGCACUGACACUGAGGCGCGAAAGUGUGGGGAGCAAACAGGAUUAGAUACCCUGGUAGUCCACACCGUAAACGAUGUUCACUAGCCGCUGGCACCAUGAGUUGUGUCAGUAGCGUAGCUAACGCGUUAGGUGAACCGCCUGGGGAGUACGGCCGCAAGGUUAAA
rnacentral:rRNA from 1 species